rnacentral:rRNA from 1 species
GACGAACGCUGGCGGCGUGCUUAACACAUGCAAGUCGAACGGACAGGCCCUGCUCUUGCGGGGUGCUCGAUUGGCGAACGGGUGUGUAACACGCGAGUAUCCCGCCCUUGACUUUCGGAUAUCUCCACGAGACUGGGGCUAUUAUCGGAUAGGAGCUCCUGCUGCAUGGUGUGGGUUGGUAAGUUUCGGCGGUUGGGGCUGGUCUCGCGGGUUAUCCGCUUCUUGGUCGGGUAGUUGAGUACCAGGGCUUUGAAGGGUAGGCGGCCUUGGAGGGUGACCGGCGACAUUGGGACUGAGGUACGGCCCAGACGCCUACGGGAGGCAGCAGGGGGGAGUCUUGCGCAGUGGGCGGGAGCCAGAUGUAGCAGCGCCGCGUGCGGGAUAACGGGCUUCUGGGUGUAAACCGCUUUCGCCGGUAACGAAGAGUGAGUGACGGUACUGAGUAAAGAAGCACCGGCUAACUACGUG